rnacentral:rRNA from 1 species
AUUGAACGCUCGCGGGAUGCUUUACACAUGCAAGUCGAACGGCAGCGCGGACUUCGGUCUGGCGGCGAGUGGCGAACGGGUGAGUAAUGUAUCGGAACGUGCCCAGUAGCGGGGGAUAACUACGCGAAAGCGUAGCUAAUACCGCAUACGCCCUACGGGGGAAAGCAGGGGAUCGUAAGACCUUGCACUAUUGGAGCGGCCGAUAUCGGAUUAGCUAGUUGGUGAGGUAACGGCUCACCAAGGCGACGAUCCGUAGCUGGUUUGAGAGGACGACCAGCCACACUGGGACUGAGACACGGCCCAGACUCCUACGGGAGGCAGCAGUGGGGAAUUUUGGACAAUGGGGGCAACCCUGAUCCAGCCAUCCCGCGUGUGCGAUGAAGGCCUUCGGGUUGUAAAGCACUUUUGGCAGGAAAGAAACGUCGCGGGCUAAUACCCCGUGGAACUGACGUACCUGCAGAAUAAGCACCGGCUAACUACGUG